rnacentral:lncRNA from 1 species
AGCCUUCAUCCAUUUUCUGACACUUCCAGGCAAGAGCUGGAGAGAAUGGGAGAGCGAAGGAGAGCAAGGAUUCUUUGGUCAUAGAGCAGCAGCACUACCUGGGCUCGGCUGUUACUUAAAGCUGAUUCUACUGAGUGACACUUCAGUUUGCCACCCCAUGCUUAUAUUCACACCCCAAGCAACAGUUAUGAGGAAAUAGCUGGAGAUCCUGGAAUUCCUUCUGCUGUUCCAUGUUUUCAUGUGCUGCUCUCUUUGCUAAGUACGUCCUCCACCAGGCAUCAUGCGAAAAACAAGAUUUCAUGCUCAGAUAUCACACAACUGCCAAACUUCAAAUGCUAGAUUUCUUCUUGAUAGUUAUGCAUUAUUUAAUUUCUCCAAUCUUCAUUUUAUUUUUUUGUACUAUAGGGUAAUAAAAAUACCUACUUCACUGAGAUUUUAUGAAGAUAAAAUAAUAUAUUUAAAUUUGCAUAUUACAAUGUAUAUACCUACCAAAUAUUCAAUGAACAACAAAAAAAGCUCAA